CCUACGGGUGGCAGCAGUGAGGAAUAUUGGUCAAUGGGCGAGAGCCUGAACCAGCCAAGUCGCGUGAAGGAUGAAGGACCUAUGGUUUGUAAACUUCUUUUAUAUGGGAAUAAAGUGAGGAACGUGUGCCUUUUUGUAUGUACUAUAUGAAUAAGGAUCGGCUAACUCCGUGCCAGCAGCCGCGGUAAUACGGAGGAUGCGAGCGUUAUCCGGAUUUAUUGGGGUUAAAGGGAGCGUAGGUGGUUAAUUAAGUCAGUUGUGAAAGUUUGCGGCUCAACCGUAAAAUUGCAAUUGAUACUGGUAGUCUUGAGUACAGUUGAGGUAGGCGGAAUGCGUGGUGUAGCGGUGAAAUGCAUAGAUAUCACGAAGAACUCCGAUUGCGAAGGCAGCUUACUAAACUGCCACUGACACUGAUGCACGAAAGCGUGGGGAUCAAACAGGAUUAGAUACCCUGGUAGUC
rnacentral:rRNA from 1 species